AGUAACGGCGAGUGAAGCGGCAACAGCUCAAAUUUGAAAUCUGGCCCUCUCAGGGUCCGAGUUGCAAUUUGGAGAGGAUGCUUCGGGUGUGGCCCCGGUCUAAGUUCCUUGGAACAGGACGUCACAGAGGGUGAGAAUCCCGUACGUGCCCGGUGGCCGCCCCCGUGUGAAGCUCCUUCGACGAGUCGAGUUGUUUGGGA
rnacentral:rRNA from 1 species